AGUUGGGUAGGAGCCUCUUUGUGUGCAUGUUAGUAUCCCUCAGUUUGUUCCAUUGUCCCUCUGCUGAGGACGGGGAUGGACAUGAGGACUGGAGAGGAAGGAAGACACCAUGGAACAACGUGAUCACUGAAAAAUGUCCGAGAGGAUCAGGUCGGCAGGCAAAAGCUUUAGGGCCAUCAGAGAGCGGUAUGAGUCCAUCAGGCACCCAGGAGUCAGACAAACAGGACCCCAGCAGUGGAAGAAGAGAGCCAGAGGGGAGAGGAGAAAGCAGGGAACCACACGCUGGGUCUGUCCGAGCAUCACGGAGGUCCCGCCCCAGGCGUCUGCCUCACGCUAGGCUCACUUUCAAUCUUCCAAGAAGAAAGACAAAAGAAGCUCUCCUCAACCAGCGCCUCCCAGGCUUCUUGGACGGGAUAAUUAUGAGGCCAGUGUUUUGCACAUUUCUCAGGAUUUCCCCGUGGGAUUAAGCUCUGGUGGCCCACUAUGAAUAAUCCCGAAGUAUAGAGCGCUGCUUGAAGCUGGCCUGUGCUCAUACGCACCCUCUCUCCAGGAUGAAGAGGAAAAAAUCUUUGGGAAAGCUGAGAGUGCCCAUAGGGCAACUAACUUCCAAGGUCAAAACCAUGUCAACUAUGUUCCCACAUGUUGCAUGUUUGACUCUACAGACUGAUUUACUAAAAGGACCUCUGAAAUGUCUCUGUCACAAACUGGUAUAUGGUACAGCUUCCAGAAGGAACAUCCCACAAGACCAGACUGCACUGGUAGGCUGUGCUUACCUAUGAUAGUUUUUCCAUCUCUUCCUGUUUUCCGGUAAGCCAGUGGCAGUGAUCUGACCCCCAAACACGGACUCUGAUAUUAAAAGGAGCUAAUUCACGUUUGCUGGUUUUGGCAAAUGGGAGAAAGGAGAUAGCCUCUUCUUCCCUGAACUAUCUACAACAGUAAACUUGAGGGUGAGAGAUACUAUGGGAAGAAUGGGCAUUGGGGGUAGAUUCACCUUUGAUUGUUCAUUUUCUAAAUAUAGUGUGCCUAAAACAACCCUGUGGGGAAGCUGGUUAUUUACCACACUGUGUUUAAAGUCAUGUGGGUGACUUAACAAAAAAUAGUGGAAUACAGUAGUGUAAUGAAAUGAAGAAUUACACACCUGUAAAAGUCCCCAAGCUUCAUUAGCAUCAUUUAUCAGAAUAAAACACAGGAGCUUCAGUUUGCUAAGAAAAAUUGAAUGCUGCUUGGCUGCUCUGUUCUAUUUCUUUCCCUCCAUUGAAAAAAUAUGAGGCUAUUUGCAAACAAUGUUCCUUUCUGUUAAUGCAAAACUGCACUACUCCAUGCCUUGGAAGAUUAAAUGUUUCACUGUGGUGAGGGACGAACAGUCCCCGAUUUAGUACGACAGUCAACACAAAGCAACAAACUGCCCUGCAGAGAGCUGUGAAAACAGUAAGUCAACUACAGGAAGCAGUCAAGGAUGUCUAUUUCCUAUUUCACUCCAUUUCCGUCCAGGGUCCAAUGUUAAGGGCCAAUUUCCCAAGAGUAUUACGGAGGCUACAUAAGUGCCCUCAUUGGACGGUCUGGUUAUCUAAGGGACUCUGAGGUGACAGUUAGCUAGGUUUAGAUAAAGAAAGGAAAUGUGGAGUCAUCAGAUCUUAAAACCCCAAACAAAAAACAGUUUGGUAUGAACACAAAUAAUAAUACCUCUCGGUGACUAACUACAGGCUACAGAGUCACGAAAUGAAACACGGAAUUUGCAAAAAAAAUUUUAACCAUAAAUAAGUGAUAUGAUAUAAAAGUGAUUCCUCAGAGGGUGUUUGAGUAGAUUUCUCUCUCUAAUUCAAAGCGAGUCAAAUGACAGGACUUGCAUUGUAUUCCUUAGGGCAAGUAUCCACCAACACAGAGAUCUCAUUACAGCAUCACAAAAUGUUUUCUGAUAUCCAGUUUCUCUUGUUUUUUUAAAGCUCCCUGGACUACCUUAAAUAUACCCGCUCUCCCACUGGAGUUCAGGUUUCCCUGGAGCCAGGGUAAUUCUAAGAGUUAUCUGAUGCUUCCCUCUAGGCCUUCUGUUCCCUCGGACCUUGCCCUCCCUCUACUCUGCUCAGGCUGCAACUGGCCGUGUCAGACAGACCUUUGUUUUCCUGGGGUCCUUUCUUGCUUUACUGUCCCUCCUUGCCCCCUCCCAAGCCUCUUCUCUCUUUCUCUCUGACCGCCUCACUUUCAGAGCAUCCUUCACCUCUUCUCUGCCAUGCUUUUCAAGCAAGAUGUGCUUUUUAUGAUGAUACUGACUAUAUGUUACCAUCUAUCAGGAAUGAUGAAUUAAAUUUCCCCAGUACUUCUGACCAUACCAAGCUGUAUUUUUAAAUUUUAAUCUGUUGAUCUUUCCAUUAAAAACAAAGCUCUAAGAAUUUCAGGUUUGACAACAAUAAUAACUCAGCAUCAGAGGAUGCAUGGUUAGGCAUGAAAAAAUGAAAGAGAACACAAAAACACUGCAUUUUUUUCAAUAGCCAAUGCUUUUUUGUUCUUAGGUGCAAUUAUUAGGGCCAAAUAAUAUUUGCCUUCUGUGACUUGGAGAAGAAAAGCUUUAUUCCCCUUUGUUUUAAAGCUGUUUUGAAAUCUCUGA